GGUCCGGGCGUUAUCCGGAUUUAUUGGGUUUAAAGGGAGCACAGGCCGGCUGUCAAGCGUGUUGUGAAAUGUAGGGGCUCAACCUCUGACUUGCAGCGCGAACUGACGGUCUUGAGUACGCACAACGUUGGCGGAAUUUGUCGUGUAGCGGUGAAAUGCUUAGAUAUGACGAAGAACUCCGAUUGCGAAGGCAGCUGACGGGAGCGCCACUGACGCUUAAGCUCGAAAGUGCGGGUAUCGAACAGGAUUAGAUACCCUGGUAGUCCACGCCGUAAACGAUGAGUGCUAGGUGUUAGGCCCUUUCCGGGGCUUAGUGCCGCAGCUAACGCAUUAAGCACUCCGCCUGGGGAGUACGACCGCAAGGUUGAAACUCAAAGGAAUUGACGGGGGCCCGCACAAGCGGUGGAGCAUGUGGUUUAAUUCGAAGCAACGCGAAGAACCUUACCAGGUCUUGACAUCCCAGUGACCGCUCUAGAGAUAGAGUUUCUCUUCGGAACACUGGUGACAGGUGGUGCAUGGUUGUCGUCAGCUCGUGUCGUGAGAUGUUGGGUUAAGUCCCGCAACGAGCGCAACCUUUAUUGUUAGUUGCCAUCAUUCAGUUGGGCACUCUAGCGAGACUGCCGGUAAUAAACCGGAGGAAGGUGGGGAUGACGUCAAAUCAUCAUGCCCCUUAUGACCUGGGCUACACACGUGCUACAAUGGUUGGUACAACGAGUCGCAAGUGCGGUGACGGCAAGCAAAUCUC
rnacentral:rRNA from 1 species